AUUGAACGCUGGCGGCAGGCCUAACACAUGCAAGUCGAACGAGUGGCGGACGGGUGAGUAAUGUCUGGACAACUGCCUGAUGGAUGGGGAUAACUACUGGAAACGGUAGCUAAUACCGCAUACCAUCGGAUGUGCCCAGAUGGGAUUAGCUUGUUGGUGGGGUAACGGCUCACCAAGGCGCCGAUCCCUAGCUGGUCGGAGAGGAUGACGAGCAAAACUGGAACUGAGACACGGUCCAGACUCCUACGGGAGGCAGCAGGGGGGAAUAUUGCACAAUGGGCGCAAGCCUGAUGCAGCCAUGCCGCGUGUAUGAAGAAGGCCUUAGGGUUGUAAAGUACUUUCAGCGGGGAGGCGUUACCCGCAGAAGAAGCACCGGCUAACUCCGUGCCAGCAGCCGCGGUAAUAC
rnacentral:rRNA from 1 species